rnacentral:rRNA from 1 species
GACGAACGCUGGCGGCGUGCCUAAUACAUGCAAGUCGAGCGAUGACGUUUGGUGCUUGCACCAAUUUGAAGAGCAGCGGACGGGUGAGUAACGCGUGGUGAAUCUGCCUUUCAGCGGGGGACACCAUUUGGGAACGAAUGCUAAUACCGCAUAACAACUUUAAACAUAAGGGUUAAGUUUGAAAGAUGCAAUUGCAUCACUCAAAGACGAUCCCGCGUUGUAUUAGCUAGUUGGUGGGGUAAAGGCGAAACAAGGCGAUGAUACAUAACCGACCUGAGAGGGGGCUCGGCCAAGCUGGGACGGGGACACGGCCCAAAACACUACGGGUGGCAGCCGUAGGGGAUCCUCGGCGAUGGAAGAAAGGCUGACCGAGCGACGCCGCGCGAGUGAAGAAGGUUGUCGGGUCGCGAAACUCUUGUGGUAGAGAAGAACGUAGGUGAGAGUGGAAAGCUCAUCAAGUGACGGUACCUACACAGAAAGCGACGGCUAACUACGUG